rnacentral:rRNA from 1 species
GUUCUCCCCGAAAGCUAUUUAGGUAGCGCCUCGGACGAAUACCAUAGGGGGUAGAGCACUGUUUCGGCUAGGGGGUCAUCCCGACUUACCAAACCGAUGCAAACUCCGAAUACCUAUGAGUACUAUCCGGGAGACAGACUGCGGGUGCUAACGUCCGUAGUCAAGAGGAAAACAAUCCAGACCGCCAGCUAAGGCCCCAAAAUCAUAGUUAAGUGGGAAACGAUGUGGGAAGGCAUAGACAGCUAGGAGGUUGGCUUAGAAGCAGCCACCCUUUAAAGAAAGCGUAAUAGCUCACUAGUCGAGUCGGCCUGCGCGGAAGAUGUAACGGGGCUAAAACUAUGUGCCGAAGCUGCGGAUUUGACAUUAGUCAAGUGGUAGGGGAGCGUUCUGUAAGCCGAUGAAGGUGUGUUGAGAAGCAUGCUGGAGGUAUCAGAAGUGCGAAUGCUGACGUGAGUAACGACAAAACGGGUGAAAAACCCGUUCGCCGAAAGACCAAGGGUUCCAGUCCAACGUUAAUCGGGGCUGGGUGAGUCGACCCCUAAGGCGAGGCCGAAAGGCGUAGUCGAUGGGAAAAUGGUUAAUAUUCCAUUACUUCUGUGUAAUGCGAUGAGAGGACGGAGAAGGCUAAAUCAGCCUGGCGUUGGUUGUCCAGGUGAAAGGAUGUAGGCAUGUAUCUUAGGCAAAUCCGGGGUACUCUAUGCUGAGAUCUGAUAGCAAGCUGUACUUGUACAGCGAAGUGGUUGAUGCCAUGCUUCCAGGAAAAGUCUCUAAGCUUCAGUUACACAGGAAUCGUACCCGAAACCGACACAGGUGGUCAGGUCGAGUAGACCAAGGCGCUUGAGAGAACUCUGCUGAAGGAACUAGGCAAAAUGGUACCGUAACUUCGGGAGAAGGUACGCUGUUGUUGGUGAUGGAACUCGCUUCCUGAGCUGACGACAGCCGCAGAAACCAGGCCGCUGCAACUGUUUAUUAAAAACAUAGCACUCUGCAAACACGAAAGUGGACGUAUAGGGUGUGAUGCCUGCCCGGUGCUGGAAGGUUAAUUGAUGGGGUUAGCGUAAGCGAAGCUCUUGAUCGAAGCCCCAGUAAACGGCGGCCGUAACUAUAACGGUCCUAAGGUAGCGAAAUUCCUUGUCGGGUAAGUUCCGACCUGCACGAAUGGCAUAAUGAUGGCGGCGCUGUCUCCAGCAGAGGCUCAGUGAAAUCGAAAUCGCUGUGAAGAUGCAGUGUACCCGCGGCUAGACGGAAAGACCCCGUGAACCUUUACUGCAGCUUGACACUGAACUUUGACCUUACUUGUGUAGGAUAGGUGGGAGGCUUUGAAGCUGGAACGCUAGUUCCAGUGGAGCCGUCCUUGAAAUACCACCCUGGUAAUGUUGAGGUUCUAACUCUGUCCCGUGAUCCGGGACGAGGACCGUGUCUGGUGGGUAGUUUGACUGGGGCGGUCUCCUCCUAAAGAGUAACGGAGGAGUACGAAGGUGCGCUCAGCGUGGUCGGAAAUCACGCGUAGAGUAUAAAGGCAAAAGCGCGCUUAACUGCGAGACCCACAAGUCGAGCAGGUACGAAAGUAGGUCUUAGUGAUCCGGUGGUUCUGUAUGGAAGGGCCAUCGCUCAACGGAUAAAAGGUACUCUGGGGAUAACAGGCUGAUACCGCCCAAGAGUUCAUAUCGACGGCGGUGUUUGGCACCUCGAUGUCGGCUCAUCUCAUCCUGGGGCUGAAGCAGGUCCCAAGGGUAUGGCUGUUCGCCAUUUAAAGAGGUACGCGAGCUGGGUUUAGAACGUCGUGAGACAGUUCGGUCCCUAUCUACCGUGGGCGCUGGAAAUUUGAGAGGAUCUGCUCCUAGUACGAGAGGACCAGAGUGGACGAACCUCUGGUGUACCGGUUGUGACGCCAGUCGCAUCGCCGGGUAGCUAUGUUCGGAAGGGAUAACCGCUGAAAGCAUCUAAGCGGGAAGCCUACCUCAAGAUAAGAUUUCCCUAGGACUUUAUGUCCUCUAAAGAGCCGUUCGAGACUAGGACGUUGAUAGGUUGGAUGUGGAAGCAUAGUGAUAUGUGAAGCUGACCAAUACUAAUUGCUCGUGAGGCUUGACU